rnacentral:rRNA from 1 species
AACUCGGGUGAAGGAACUAGGCAAAAUGGUGCCGUAACUUCGGGAGAAGGCACGCUGAUAUGUAGGUGAAGUCCCUCGCGGAUGGAGCUGAAAUCAGUCGAAGAUACCAGCUGGCUGCAACUGUUUAUUAAAAACACAGCACUGUGCAAACACGAAAGUGGACGUAUACGGUGUGACGCCUGCCCGGUGCCGGAAGGUCAAUUGAUGGGGUUAGCCGCAAGGCGAAGCUCUUGAUCGAAGCCCCGGUAAACGGCGGCCGUAACAAUAACGGUACUAAGGUAGCGAAAUUCCUUGUCGGGUAAGUUCCGACCUGCACGAAUGGCGUAACGAUGGCGGCGCUGUCUCCACCCGAGACUCAGUGAAAUUGAAAUCGCUGUGAAGAUGCAGUGUAUCCGCGGCUAGACGGAAAGACCCCGUGAACCUUUACUAUAGCUUUGCACUGGACUUUGAAUUUGCUUGUGUAGGAUAGGUGGGAGGCUUUGAAGUGGGGACGCCAGUUCUCAUGGAGCCAUCCUUGAAAUACCACCCUGGCAACUUUGAGGUUCUAACUCAGGUCCGUUAUCCGGAUCGAGGACAGUGUAUGGUGGGUAGUUUGACUGGGGCGGUCUCCUCCUAAAGAGUAACGGAGGAGUACGAAGGUGCGCUCAGACCGGUCGGAAAUCGGUCGUAGAGUAUAAAGGCAAAAGCGCGCUUGACUGCGAGACAGACACGUCGAGCAGGUACGAAAGUAGGUCUUAGUGAUCCGGUGGUUCUGUAUGGAAGGGCCAUCGCUCAACGGAUAAAAGGUACUCCGGGGAUAACAGGCUGAUACCGCCCAAGAGUUCAUAUCGACGGCGGUGUUUGGCACCUCGAUGUCGGCUCAUCACAUCCUGGGGCUGAAGCCGGUCCCAAGGGUAUGGCUGUUCGCCAUUUAAAGUGGUACGCGAGCUGGGUUUAGAACGUCGUGAGACAGUUCGGUCCCUAUCUACCGUGGGCGUUGGAAAUUUGAGAGGAUCUGCUCCUAGUACGAGAGGACCAGAGUGGACGAACCUCUGGUGUACCGGUUGUGACGCCAGUCGCAUCGCCGGGUAGCUAUGUUCGGAAGGGAUAACCGCUGAAAGCAUCUAAGCGGGAAGCCUACCUCAAGAUAAGAUUUCCCUAGGACUUUAUGUCCUCUAAAGAGCCGUUGAAGACUACGACGUUGAUAGGUUGGAUGUGGAAGCAUAGUGAUAUGUGAAGCUGACCAAUACUAAUUGCUCGUGAG